GGGGGUAUGGCUCAGUAGGCAGAGCGUCCGACUUAUAAUCGGAAGGUCUCGGGUUCGAUCCCCGGUGCCUCCA